rnacentral:misc_RNA from 1 species
GUGGGAGGGGGCUUGCCCCCGAUGGCGGUGGGUCAGCCAGCCAUUUUUCAACUGACACACCGCUAUCGGGGGCAAGCCCCCUCCCAC